GACCACCGUUCACAUCGUUCUCCUUCCUUCCUGCUUUCCUUUGUAUAGAGAUUUCAGCAAGAAAAACUGGCACAGUAUAAUUUUCCUUGUUGACUGCACACAUUCUUGUGGUUUUGACUUUGAAAUCAUAACACUGGAGCUAGGAUUCUGGUGUCUACCAGAGUAAAACACGAGUUCCGGUAAGAUUCAUCUCCCCAGUGAAGCCUUUCCCAACCCAUCAUCAGAUACUUUUACAACUCCAGCUCUGACUUACCAUGUUUGCAACGUUGUUCUGUGACUAACUCUUUUGUGGUUGUGUUUUAUCGUUUUUCUAUUUUCUGCAUCUCAUUGUU
rnacentral:lncRNA from 1 species